CAGAGGUCUCAAGCGUUGUUCGGAUUCAUUGGGCGUAAAGGGUGCGUAGGUGGCGCCGUAAGUCAGGUGUGAAAUCUCGGGGCUUAACUCCGAAACUGCAUUUGAUACUGCGGUGCUUGAGGACUGGAGAGGAGACUGGAAUUCAUGGUGUAGCAGUGAAAUGCGUAGAGAUCAUGAGGAAGACCAGUGGCGAAGGCGGGUCUCUGGACAGUUCCUGACACUGAGGCACGAAGGCCAGGGGAGCAAACGGGAUUAGAUACCCCGGUAGUCCUGGCAGUAAACGGUGCACGUUUGGUGUGGGAGGAUUCGACCCCUUCUGCGCCGGAGCUAACGCGUUAAACGUGCCGCCUGGGGAGUACGGUCGCAAGAUUA
rnacentral:rRNA from 1 species